UAAUUUGACGACAGUAAUCACUGCACUAUUUCUAAAUGCAGCAGAACAUCAAGUUGUUUUCCAUUUAUAUAUUUAAGAAAAACCAACAAGAAUAACUUGAAAUAUAAAAAACCUCAAAAACUUCUGCUUCCCUUGAGAUAGGACAGGCGGUUACAGGUUGUGCGGUCACAGCCUGACCGUUACCGUGCCUGUGAGCCUGGUCUGCUCAUCGCUCUUGCGCUUUCAGCCCUGCUCUGUCACCAAGUCAUUUGGUCCAACAGAGGCAAAGUCCAGCACGAGAGAAGUUUAUUUUCUUAGAUGUUCUCAAAGGCAGAAGCGAUGCAGUACCUUGCAGCUCCCACAGGUGGCAGGUGAAAUGUGGGAAUCCCACGGAGGGCCCUGUUUAUUCGCCACGAAGGCCCAUCAUGAGGUGGUGGGUGGGGCCCUUGGCAGCCUGGGCGUCACUGGAACUCACCACGGGGAUGCCGUGGGCCACGGGAGAAGGGAGAACAGUGCUUCUCAGAGCAGAGAAGAGCCAGUCAGACAGGGUGCGAUGACCAGAGACGGCUGGUGGCUUCGAGGGUCCAGAUUACGGGAGGACCUGUGCUCCAGGAGGAAAUUAAGUUCCAGGCAGAGGACUUUGUUGUUGAAUCUGAAAGCAGACUGAGGCUACUCCAACCUAUCCAAGUGCAAAGGAGUUUGGAGGCAAAAAGGUGCUAACGGGGCUGCGUGAGUGCUGCAGGAGAGAUAAAGAUGGGAUCCUUUCCGGCCGGGAGAGAUAGUGAAAAGAGAGAACGUACCAACGCAGCGGCAA